rnacentral:rRNA from 1 species
UACGGAGGGUGCGAGCGUUGUCCGGAAUCACUGGGCGUAAAGGGCGCGUAGGUGGCUCGUGAAGCGUGCGGUGAAAGUCCGAGGCUCAACCUCGGAUCGGCCGUGCGGACUCGCGGGCUCGAGCGUUGUAGAGGCGGGUGGAAUUCCGGGUGUAGCGGUGGAAUGCGUAGAUAUCUGGAGGAACACCGGUGGCGAAGGCGGCAUCCUGGACCGAGAUUGACGCUGAUGCGCGAAAGCCAGGGGAGCAAACGGG